rnacentral:lncRNA from 1 species
AUGCCCCAGUGGAGUCCUGGAGCAUCCAAGAUGGAUGCUGGGCCUGGGGCUGGAGGACAUGAGGCAUCAGGGGACUUGACAGGAGAUCAGUCUGGAAAGUGUCCAGGAAGAAAAGACUUCCACCAGUCACCCCAGACAAAGAGCUGUCAUUGGGGAGACUGUCUGGUAGCAGGAGGCGGAGGCAGAGGCAGCUCCGGGCAGUUGGCUGUUCCCAGAAGGCCACACGCUGCUCUUGACUUGGCUUCUUCCAGCCCUAUUGCCUGCUGGCUGGCACCUGCCCCCUUGUGUUGUCUGCCCCUCAUCACUGGCAUUCUUCAAGGUAUCGUGGCUCCUUCAGCACUGACCAACUAGCUACCCUAAAGUUGCCAUUGCCUUUGCCGGCAGGCUCAGUCUUAGAUUCCAUAGUUCAUAUUUCUAAGAGAGGCUAUCUCAUUAGUCCAACUCAAAUUUCUCAAAGGCCAAGGUCAUAGGUAAAACCUGUGAUGGGGCAGGCCAACUAUAUUCGUGAAGGGAACCAAUUUUAGUUUCAAUUUAUUUCCAAAUGGAAUGUCACAGAUCACUCCCAAAAGUGACAGACUAGCAGCCACUAUCUUACUGGCCCACAAUUUUCUGGACCAGUGAGUUAGACUGGGCCUAGGAGAGAAGCUCUCAUGCUGGCCUUGUGUGGGCUCGCUGCUGCAGCUACAGUCCGAAGGCAGGUUAACUGGGCAGGUGGAAGAGACAAGUCCCAGUAUGCAAAGGCUUUUCAAUGUCCUGUUGGCAAGCCAUUCACUUGCCCGGCCCAGCGUCAAUUUGGGAAAGUGAUACCCAAGGGCAUGGAACGUGAUUUGGUGUGGAAUCCCAUACAUCACCUGGAAAAUUUGUUUUUUUUUUUUUUUUUUGGAGGAAGAUUAGCCCUCAGCUAACUACUGCCAGUCCUCCUCUUUUUGCUGAGGAAGCCUGGCUCUGAGCUAACAUCCGUGCCCAUCUUCCUCUAGUUUAUACGUGGGACGCCUACCACAGCAUGGCUGCCAAGCAGUGCCGUGUCCGCACCCGGGAUCCGAACCAGCGAACCCCGGGCCGCCGAGAAGCGGAACGUGCGAACUUAACCGCUGCGCCACCGGGCCGGCCCCAUCACCUGGAAAAUUUGAAAGGAGAUUCCUACUACUUUAAAAGUACAUCUCAUUUCUGGAUCUACUUGCCGUGAAUUAAUAUCUUUUUAUUAAACCUUAUAUUAUCUCAUGAAAAGUGUGAUCAUAUUGCAUUUUUUGCUACUUUCGUUAAAGGUAUUAAUGUAGACACUGAAAAUACACCACAGAUUUUGUAAUCCUGCUUUAGUGCUUAUUUUUUCGUUUUUAUAUGCCAGGAAGUG